CCAUGCAAGUCGAGGGGUAUAGUUCUUCGGAACUAGAGACCGGCGCACGGGUGCGUAACGCGUAUGCAAUCUACCUUGUACAGAGGGAUAGCCCAGAGAAAUUUGGAUUAAUACCUCAUAGUGUUAUUGAAUGGCAUCAUUUAAUAACUAAAGUUCUAACGGUACAAGAUGAGCAUGCGUCCCAUUAGUUAGUUGGUAAGGUAACGGCUUACCAAGACAAUGAUGGGUAGGGGUCCUGAGAGGGAGAUCCCCCACACUGGUACUGAGACACGGACCAGACUCCUACGGGAGGCAGCAGUGAGGAAUAUUGGACAAUGGGCGCAAGCCUGAUCCAGCCAUGCCGCGUGCAGGAUGACUGCCCUAUGGGUUGUAAACUGCUUUUAUACAGGAAGAAACACUGCUACGUGUAGCAGCUUGACGGUACUGUAAGAAUAAGGAUCGGCUAACUCCGUGCCAGCAGCCGCGGUAAUACGGAGGAUCCAAGCGUUAUCCGGAAUCAUUGGGUUUAAAGGGUCCGUAGGCGGCCUUAUAAGUCAGUGGUGAAAUCUCCUAGCUCAACUAGGAAACUGCCAUUGAUACUGUAGGGCUUGAAUUUUUAGGAAGUAACUAGAAUAUGUAGUGUAGCGGUGAAAUGCUUAGAUAUUACAUGGAAUACCAAUUGCGAAGGCAGGUUACUACUAAUGGAUUGACGCUGAUGGACGAAAGCGUGGGUAGCGAACAGGAUUAGAUACCCUGGUAGUCCACGCCGUAAACGAUGGAUACUAGCUGUUCGGUCUUCGGACUGAGUGGCUAAGCGAAAGUGAUAAGUAUCCCACCUGGGGAGUACGCACGCAAGUGUGAAACUCAAAGGAAUUGACGGGGGCCCGCACAAGCGGUGGAGCAUGUGGUUUAAUUCGAUGAUACGCGAGGAACCUUACCAGGGCUUAAAUGGGAGACGACAGGACUGGAAACAGUUUUUUCUUCGGACGUCUUUCAAGGUGCUGCAUGGUUGUCGUCAG
rnacentral:rRNA from 1 species